UACGUAGGGCGCGAGCGUUGUCCGGAAUUACUGGGCGUAAAGUGUGCGCAGGCGGCCGCGCAAGUCGAGUGUGAAAGCCCCGAGCUUAACUUGGGAAUUGCGCUCGAAACUACGUGGCUGGAGUGUGGCAGAGGAAGGUGGAAUUCCACGUGUAGCGGUGAAAUGCGUAGAGAUGUGGAGGAACACCAAUGGCGAAGGCAGCCUUCUGGGCCAACACUGACGCUCAUGCACGAAAGCGUGGGGAGCAAACAGG
rnacentral:rRNA from 1 species